AGUGAAUAGAUACCCUGGUAGUCCACGCUGUAAACGUUGAUAACUCGUUGUUGGCGAUAUACUGUCAGCGACUAAAGCGAAAGUGAUAAGUUAUCCACCUGGGGAGUACGGUCGCAAGAUUGAAACUCAAAGGAAUUGACGGGGGCCCGCACAAGCGGAGGAGCAUGUGGUUUAAUUCGAUGAUACGCGAGGAACCUUACCUGGGCUUGAAAGUUAGCGACUGAGUGUGAAAGCAUUCAUCCCUUCGGGGCGCGAAACUAGGUGCUGCAUGGCUGUCGUCAGCUCGUGCCGUGAGGUGUUGGGUUAAGUCCCGCAACGAGCGCAACCCCGUAUCUUUAGUUGCCAGCACAUUAUGGUGGGGACUCUAAAGAAACUGCCCGCGCAAGCGGUGAGGAAGGUGGGGAUGACGUCAAGUCAGCACGGCCCUUACGUCCAGGGCUACACACGUGCUACAAUGGCAAGUACAAAGGGCAGCUACAUGGCAACAUGAUGCUAAUCUCUAAAGCUUGUCUCAGUUC
rnacentral:rRNA from 1 species